rnacentral:lncRNA from 1 species
GACGGAGUCUCGCUCUGUCGCCCAGACUGGAGUGCAGUGGCGCAAUCUCGGCUCACUGCAAGCUCUGUCUUCCGGGUUCAUGCCAUUCUCCUGCCUCAGCCUCCUGAGUAGCUGGGACUACAGGCGCCCGCCAUUACGCCCGGCUAAUUUUAUUUUAUUUUAUUUUUAGUAGAGACAGGGUUUCACUGUGUUAGCCAGGAUGGUCUGUGUCUCCUGACCUCGUGAUCCACCCGCCUCGGCCUCCCAAAGUGCUGGGAUUACAAAAUGCGUGAGCCACCACGCCCGGCUGAUGGUUUUAUUAAUAUAAGGGACUUUAACCCUUUGCUCAGGACUUCUACUUGCUGCUGCCAUGUGAAGAAGGACAUAUUUGCUUCCCCUUUCACCAUGAUUGAUCCCAUCCAGAAUACAUUACCUUUAGUCAUCAUGUCUCCUGUGGCUCUUCUUGGCUGUGACAGUUUCUCAGCUUUCCCAGUUUUAAUGAACUUGCCAUUUUCAUCAGAUUGUACCAAGACCUACUAUCAAUAUGACUUAUGACUAGUGGUGCUGACCUUGAUCACCUGGCUGAGGUAGUUCUUGUCAGGCUUCUCCACUGUCGAGUUGCUCUCCCCAUCCCCCUUUUCCAUAUUGUACUCUUUGAAAGAAAGUCACUAUAUGCAGCCCUUCCUUAAAAAUAUUAAAAUGAACUAGCUUAAUUAAGUUCUUUCUUACA